GGCCGUUGGGUGAGCACACACAGGGUUCCUUCCACUGGCCUAGAAAUGGCCUCCUCUGGCUAGAGAGCUCCUAAUAGGAGAAGAGACCUUGUCCUAGCCCAGUCAUGACUGGAGCCCACUCUGAUGACUCUGGGGUAGCCUGGGCUGGACUGACUGCUUUAUCCUUAGGUCUCCAGGAGUGGUGACAGCAGUGGUGGAUAAACUGGACAAGGAGGCAUUUCAGAAGCUCCAUGCAGAAGACAACCCCUAACUCCAGAUGACUGAUUCUCUCACAAAUAAAAGGACAAAGGUCAGGCUGUGCCCAAGCCAAGGAGAAAGAAUGCUAGUUGGCCAUUUACCUACAGAUGUCAAAGCUCUCAGCUAUCAACAUGCUUGUCUGCUUCCUGCCA
ensembl:lncRNA